rnacentral:rRNA from 1 species
ACCAGGAUUAGAUACCCUACUAUACUUUAAUAAAAUUCGAAACUACCUGAUUAGUAACAGCUAUGUACUCUAAAUUCAAAGAAUUUGGCGGUAUUUUAUUCUUAUUAGGGGAACCUGUCUCUUAAACGAUAAACCACGCAGUAUCUAACCUGUUUUCCAUAGUUUGUAUACCGUCAUUGAAAUAACCCUCAAAGAGAUAGUUAUUGAAAUAAAUCAUUUUAAAAUGUUAGAUCAAGGUGCAGCAGAUAAACAGGCGCAGAUGGGUUACAAUAUAAUUUAUAUAUUACGGAACAGCUCUCGAACGAGAGUUUCUAAGGCGGACUUAAAAGUAAAACUGAUUUAGCAAGCCAGUUUGACUUUAGCUCUAAAAUAUGUACAUAUCGCUCCGUCG